AGUGAUAGUUAAAAAUAGUUAUCAAACUACAUGUAUAUAUAUGUUAUAUUCUAUGUUUUGUCAUUUUUUUUGUCAAUAAAAUUGUCUAUCUAAAUUUUAUAAUAUCUAUUUUUAUCUUCGUUUUUUUAUUUUUUAUUUUUUUUGUAGUUGCUUAUUUUAUUUUAUUUUUUCUUUUGUGGCCGUUUACGUCACCCAUUUUUUUGAUGGUUAUUUUAUAUGUUUGUUCCGAAAAAAAAUGAACUACAUAUACUCUUUAUGUGAAAAUAUAGGGGAAAAUGAGAAAAAGUUGAUUUCAGAUGAAUUAGGAAAUAUACUUGAUGAUUUUCCAGAUAAGAGCAAAUAUCAUGUGUCUGAAUUAGUUGUUGUAAGUAGAACCAGGUUCUUUAAGUUAUUGAGUAAUUAUGGUGAAUUUUUACUAUUAGAAUCGUCUUCUAGAGUAAUAAACAGUUACGAAAAUAUUUUACUGUUAUUACAUAAAGCCAAAAUAUUUGAACGAUUUUUUAAAUGCUUGCAAAUAAAAAAUGAUAAUUUGAAUAUAAAAAAAAACUUUGAAAAGGAUAUUUUAAUGUUUAUCAAUUAUUUAGAAGAAGAAAAAAAAAAACAUUAUGACAAUUUAAGUAAAAUAAUGAUAAAAUUUAUAAUUACAGCUGUAAGUAAAAAUAAUAGUUUUUUAGAAAAUAAGUUAUUAUAUAAUGAAUUAGAAAAUAAAACAAGUUUUGACACUGCUACAACACAAACAGUCACACAAAAAGAGGAGAAAGCAUUUAGUGAUUCUAACGCGUGUCAGUCAUUAAAAAUAAAUGAUAGUACUGAUGAUAUCUGGAAACAAAAUUCUAACACUAAAGAUGAAUUAGAUAUUCUUAUCGAACCUUUUAACGAAUUAGAAGAUUAUGAAGAUUAUUUAUUUAAUAUAUUAAAUAAAAUGGAUAGUACAUCAUGGAAAGAUAAAAAACAUGAAGAAUAUUUAAAAAUGAUUAGUUUGAAUGAUGAAAUGGUACAUGAAGAUGAUAGUAGUAAUAGUAGUAGUGCUAGUAUAGAAACUUUAGAUAAUAAUAAAAGAAACCUCAGUAACAUUACUAAAAUAAAGACUAAUAAUACUCUUUUAUUACCAAAGCAUUUAAAAAAUGUUAGAAAUUCAAUAUAUAGUUAUCAAAGUAAAUCCAAAAUGGAAGUAAAAUAUAUGGUAGAACAGGCAAUGAGUGAUAAUCUAAAAACUACAUUAUUUAAAACUGGUAAAAUAAAAAGCGAAAUGAUUCCAUCACCAAAUUAUGUAAAAUAUUGGCCUUAUACUAAUAAUAAUAGUUUAAGUAGAUUUGAUGACUCUGCAUUGAUGCCAGAUAUGAUAUUAAAAUUUUUUAAUAUCCAAAAUAGUUCUGCUUCUGCUUUUAAAUAUGACAGUCCGAAUAAUGCAAAUCCAUAUAAUGCAAGUCCAUAUAACGCAAGUCCAUAUAACGCAAGUCCAUAUAAUGCAAGUCCAAAUUGUACCAUUCAGAACAAUGUUAACACACGUGUAUCCCCCUUUGAAUAUCAUGUUAACUAUUAUGACAUUAUGAAACUGAUUUUAAAAGGAAUAAAUGCGAUUCCAAUUGAGAAUGAAGAAAUUAAUAUGUUACUUACAUUUUUAUCAAAUAGAGAGAGACAGAAUUAUUACCUUAUGAACAAUAACAAAAACAAUUUAGUUGAUAUGCAAUUUGAUGCUAAUAGUAAUAAUAAAAAAUAUAAUUAUUCUAUACUACCAUUAGACGCAUAUAGCAAUACAAAUAAGAUAUGUAAGGAAAUCUUAAAAUAUGCAAUUUCUAAUCACGAUUUAGUGCUAACAUUAAAAACAAUGGAUACUUUUUUAGAAUUAGUACUAUAUAAAAAUUCGCUUAAAGAUAUAGUUUAUUUUUUAAAUACGAUUGGGGAAUACAUAAUUAUACCAUACUUGACAUAUGAAUUGAAUGUAUCUGGUAAAAAUAGGAGUUAUAACAAUAGGGAAAGUAGUAUGAACCAAAUGGAUGAAAUAAACCAAAUAAAUGGAACGAGUCAAAUGAAUGGCGCGAAUGGUGAAUAUUUUAGGCCAAACAUUGAAACAUGGCAAAACAGGUAUAUUCCUCAUAGUAAUAAUCAACAUAUCUAUGAAAAUGGUAAUGAAAAUGGUAAUGAAAAUGAUAAUAAAAAUGGUAAUGAAAAUGGUAAUGAAUCACGCUCAUUCAAUUACACAAACUUUCAUAAAGUGCUAUGUAGAAUACCUUUACAUGAAUACCAAUCCUUACAACUGUUACAAUUAUAUUCAUUACAUUACCCUAUGUUUUUUAAAAUUAAUGAUAAACCACAAAGAUGUUUAAAAAAUUGUUUAAGACCUUGUGAAUACUAUAGUAAUACACUACCAACCUAUGGAUCGUAUAUAUUUCAAUUUUCCGUUGUUUUUGAAAUUGAUAAUUCUAUAAAAGUAUUAGACGAACAUGGGUCGAAGUGCAAAAUAUUAUUUCAAUUAAGUGAAGAUGACAAUGAUAAAAAUAACCAAUUGGAUAUUGAUGUUACUUCAAGUGAAGAUAAUAAAGUAAACAAUUUUCUGGAAAUAAAUUUUAUACAAAAUCAUAUGUAUACGAAAAUUAUAAAGCAUACACAGUUAGGUAAUAAUAUGAAAGAAAAAGAAGGUGAAAUGUUUAGCAAUGUUAAGCAAAAUUCUUAUCAAACUAAUGAUAAAAAAUAUUCUAAUUAUAUUAUUCGUGACAAAGUAUUUAGUAAUGAUAAUAAUAGCAGUAGUAACUACUAUAACUGUAAUAACACAACAAACAAACAUAUAAAUGUAUAUGAUGUUACCAAUAUGAACACAAUUGUUUUUGACAUAUUGGUAGAUCAAGGAUGUUAUAACAAUGAUAGCAGUGAUGGAAAUAUGGCUGAAAAUGAUCAUACAGAUAUAGUCAUUUAUUCUAAUGGAAAAUAUCUAUUAUCAACUUGUGUAAAAAAGGGUUCUGUUUGUCUUGGAGGCAAUAGCAGUGUUGACAAAGGAAACAAAAGCGACAAAAGCGACAAAAGCGAUAAAAGCGGCAAAAGCGAUAAUGACAAACUCGUGCUAAAUAAUAGUAUAAGGUUAAAGGUAUUUACAUCCCGAACAUGUGUUGCUGAAUUUCCAAAAGAGUUUAAUUGCUCUUCCACAUUUGUAAACGAAUUAAUUAAUAGAAAAUUGAUAUUAGAUAAUAAUAAAAACUUUUUAUUAAAAAAUCAUAUAAACAUUAUUGAAUUUUAUAAUAAAGUUUCCACUGCAUUAAAUCGAUACAUAUAUCGUUUUUACGAUUGGAAUCAUAGUGAUCAUAAAAAUAAAAUUAAAAAGGAGUAUGUUUGUUUAUCAUAUAAUAAUGUGGACAUUUACACAUUUGAAGUAUUAAUUAAAUUUAUAGAAAACAAUAAUAAAAUUCUUAGAAGGUUGAGCAAAUUGGCAAGGAGUUGUUUAGAAGUGGAAUAUAUAGGAACGGGUGUCAGGGAGGAAUGUGUAGGAGCGAGUGUCGUGGAGGAAUAUAUAGGCGCGAGUGUAGGGGGCGAAUGCGUAAGAUCGGCCGCCAUAACAGAAUGUCCAAACGGGUUGGUUGCUACUAAUAAUGAGCAUAGUAACAGUUACAACAAUGGCAAGAGCUACAGUAAUGUCUCUUUCGCUAAAUAUCGACAAUACCUAUACGAAUGGAAUAAAAUGUCCGAUGCACAUAAUUACGCAUUAAGCAUUUUAAAGUUAUAUUUAAAAAGUGAUAUAAACACAACAAAUAAUGACAUAAUAGAAAAUAAUGAUAAUUUUUACUCAUUAGCAGAAAGAUUAAUGGUAUGUUUUUUAAAAAUUAUUAAAUUAAAAACACCGUUCAUAAAUAAAAAAGAUUUUUAUACAGAUUCUAAUUAUGAAAUAGAAGAGUUAGAUACUAAUGGUACUUUAUGGUUAUUAAGAAGAAAUGUAUACCAAAUUCUUUUAGAGGGAGAUAAAAUAAUAAUAAGUAAUAUAUUUUUGAGAAUAAGUAUAAAAAUUAUUUUAAAAUUACUUAAGUUUUUUUCAAUAAAUAAUAAUUUAGAUUCAGAUAUGAUACUAAAUGUGUUAAAUUCAUUGGAAUCAAAAGGUAUUUUAGGUAUAAUAAUGAAACGUUUGUUAAGUAAACCGUAUAAAAAUAGUUCUCAAAAAGAUAACAGUUCAGAUUUCAUUAUAAAUAAAAAUGGUUAUUCUCCAGAAUCGGCAACUAUGAACACAGCUAACACUUUACUCUCUUCUUCCUAUUCUAACUCUACUUUAAACAGUACUAGUUCGGAGCUAUUAUACGAAAUAAAUAUGAGUAUUGACAAUAUAGUAGAAAAAAAAAAAGAAAAAAAAAAAAAAAAAAAACAAAAAGAAAAACCAUUUUUAACACGGAAGAAGUAAGUAAUAUGCAUAAAAAACAAAAGAACAUAGAAUUUGUAUAUAAAUUAAUGUCAAAUGAUAAAGAAGCUGUGUCAUUUUUAGGAACUCAUUAUAAUGUUUUUCAUAAAAAUUUUGAAAGAGCCCAAAUAGCUUUAGUAGCUGUAUUUUUGUACCUAACGGGGUAUAACCAUAGCAAUAGAACAGAAUGCCUGAACAAAAACUAUUCAGAACAUGUAUAUACUAAAGAACAAAAAGACGAUAUAUUAAUAAAUGAAAUUUUAGAAAUAAAAAAAAUAAAAAU
rnacentral:lncRNA from 1 species